rnacentral:rRNA from 1 species
CCUACGGGGCGCAGCAGUGGGGAAUAUUGGACAAUGGGCGAAAGCCUGAUCCAGCCAUGCCGCGUGUGUGAAGAAGGCCUUCGGGUUGUAAAGCACUUUCAGUGGGGAAGAAAGCCUUGGGGCUAAUACCCUCGAGGAAGGACAUCACCCACAGAAGAAGCACCGGCUAACUCCGUGCCAGCAGCCGCGGUAAUACGGAGGGUGCGAGCGUUAAUCGGAAUUACUGGGCGUAAAGCGCGCGUAGGCGGUCUGAUAAGCCGGUUGUGAAAGCCCUGGGCUCAACCUGGGAACGGCAUCCGGAACUGUCAGGCUAGAGUGCAGGAGAGGAAGGUAGAAUUCCCGGUGUAGCGGUGAAAUGCGUAGAGAUCGGGAGGAAUACCAGUGGCGAAGGCGGCCUUCUGGACUGACACUGACGCUGAGGUGCGAAAGCGUGGGUAGCAAACAGGAUUAGAUACCCGGGUAGUC